UACAGAGGGGGCAAGCGUUGUUCGGAAUUACUGGGCGUAAAGGGCGCGUAGGCGGCCUUCUAAGUCGAACGUGAAAUCCCCGGGCUCAACCCGGGAACUGCGUCCGAUACUGGAAGGCUUGAAUCCGGGAGAGGGAUGCGGAAUUCCCGGUGUAGCAGUGAAAUGCGUAGAGAUCGGGAGGAACAUCUGUGGCGAAGGCGGCCAACUGGACCAGCACUGACACUGAGGCACGAAAGCGUGGGGAGCAAACAGG
rnacentral:rRNA from 1 species